rnacentral:Y_RNA from 1 species
GGCUGGUUCGAAGGUAGUGAGUUAUCUCACUUGAUUGUUCACAGUCAGUUACAGACUGAACUCCUUGUUUUAGUACUUUCCCGUCUUCUCACUACUGCACUUGACUAGUCUUAA